rnacentral:misc_RNA from 1 species
GGUGAAGAACGCAGCGAAAUGCGAUAAGUAAUGUGAAUUGCAGAAUUCAGUGAAUCAUCGAAUCUUUGAACGCACAUUGCGCCCCCUGGUAUUCCGGGGGGCAUGCCUGUUCGAGCGUCAUUUCACCACUCAAGCCUCGCUUGGUAUUGGGCAACGCGGUCCGCCGCGUGCCUCAAAUCGACCGGCUGGGUCUUCUGUCCCCUAAGCGUUGUGGAAACUAUUCGCUAAAGGGUGUUCGGGAGGCUACGCCGUAAAACAACCCCAUUUCUAAGGUUGACCUCGGAUCAGGUAGGGAUACCCGCUGAACUUAAGCAUAUCAAUAAGCGGAGGA